AUUGAACGCUGGCGGCAGGCCUAACACAUGCAAGUCGAACGAGUGGCGGACGGGUGAGUCAUGUCUGGGAAACUGCCUGAUGGAGGGGGAUAACUACUGAAAACGGUAGCUAAUACCACAUACCAUCAGAGGUGCCCAGAUGGGAUUAGCUAGUUGGUGGGGUAACGGAUCACCAAGGCGACGAUCCCUAGCUGGUCUGAGAGGAGGACCAGCCACCCUGGAAUUGAUACACGGUCAACAGUCGUACGGAAGGCAGCAGUGGGGAAUAUUGCACAAUGGGCGCAAGCCUGAUGCAGCCAUGCCGCGUGUAAGACGAAGGCCUUCGGGUUGUACAGUACUUUCAGUGGGGAGGCGUUACCCGCAGAAGAAGCACCGGCUAACUCCGCGCCAGCAGCCGCGGUAAUUC
rnacentral:rRNA from 1 species